GGAAAUGACGCAGGGAGAGCGGGGAGGCCUCUGCCUCGCGCCCCCUAGUGGUACCCGCCUGCAAAGCUGCAGACGGACAGUCAGGCUGGCGCUAGGCAGUGCCAGGCGCUCAGCGGAGAGGCUCUUUGGGUUUUGAAUGAGGAUCUCCCCCGGGCUGGUGACGCGCGCCAGGUCCUCCUCCCGACGCCGACGCGGACUGCAGCGGCAGGGCACGGCCGCGGCUCAGCCGCAAGGCCGGAAAGGCGAGCAGCCAGCGCACCCUAGAGCGCGCCUCACCGUGCGUGCGUGCGCUGAGCACCAGGACUUCUGCUGGCUUGAGGCCUGGCGUGGCCUCCGUUUCUGCAGUACUGUAUCACUAUGGCAACCACGAGUUGGGAGACAGACGUUGGCACCUUGCAGUCCACACAGUAGGAAGGCCUUUUUACCUAAGGACAAACUUGUCUGAGCUCCGGAAUCUGUGGUGACUUGUGUUGGCACCAACAGGAACCGAGUACAGCUGUCCACUUCUACCUUGGUUGUGUUUUCUGUUGUUUCGGUUACCCCUGCUCAACCACAAUCUGAAAUACUUAAUGGAAAAUUCCAGAAGUGAGCAAUUCAUGACUCCUAAAAUGUGUGGCACUGGGAGCAGCAGGAAGAGGUCCGGGACCUGCUGCGGGAUGUGAGUGUCCCUCUGUGGGCCUCCUCGUCCACGGCCACGCGGUCACAGGGACGCGGCCUACUUAGUAAUGAUCCUAAAGUCAAGGGGAAACCACGAUGCUGUAAGGAAAGAGCCCAAUCCUGCGCCGCAGCCGCUAAGAUCAUGGUCGGAAAGAAUCUUUCUUCCCAGACGGUGAGCAAGGGGAAAAGGUACCGGGCACCGGCCCGUUUCCAACCGCAAACACUGUGACCGCAGAGCUCAUUGGGGGGCUCCGCGGCGGCCGGGCGCGCAGCGGACACAGAGCUGGUGCUGCGCGGUCCCGGCCUUGCGGCUGAGGGUGCCUGUGCCCGGCCCUGGGGACCCCUCACCAGGCUGGGUGCCGCUCCUGGGGCGCAGGGGGGGGGCGGAGCCCGUCCCUGACUGUAGAUGGGAAAGUGCAGUGGCUGAGCCCAAAGGACCCAAAGCCGAAAUCAUGCAGGGAUCCUUCUGCGGGCUGUUCUGGGGUGCGGUAGGAGCCCCCCCUGUGCGUGCGCCGCUCUGUGCUGAGGAGCCAGGGACCCCGCCCAGCUCUGGGCACAGUGGCAGCCCGACCUUCCCCAGAGCGCGUUCUGCGGCCUCCCGCGCAGGAAACUUGCCAGGAGGCUGCAUCUGGAAAGUGACAGCCGGGAGCUCGCGUGCUGGGGGACGGAGGCUGCAGAAAAGACAAGUUGCACACUCGCUCCCUCGCACACGCACACGCACACGCACACGCACACGCGGAGGGACGUGUCCCUGCAGGGCUGGGCCUCCGCACCCCUCGCACUCCUGGGCUGCCGAAAGCGCCCACCCUGCGCGGCCACCUCACCGUCCUCGCCGCAGACACGCGCCCAGGCGUGUGCGUGCGUGACUCUGGGCUUCUGCUCAGAGGGACGGUCCGUUUGUCUCCGGGUGACGAACUCCUCCACCUGCUCUGCCAGCUCCAGGAAUUUCUGUCAGUGCAGGAGACACAGUGGGAAGCGGCUUGGCCAGCGGGGCCUGGCCCAGCGCUCCUGCCCUCCGGCCGGCUGGGUCCUGGGUCCGGUCCGAGGUGCAUGCAGCGCCUCGCCGGCCUACACCCCGGGGACCCUGGCUUGAUUCCAGGCCCCUGCAGCAGUGUAACCAUCUGGACGCGAGGUCCCCUGUGUAAAGCAGCGCAGUGUUUGGGCAGCGCGGGCGCCCUCCUCCCUCCGUACGAACUCUGCACAGCACCCCGCAGAGAACGAGGAAAAGGAAAGCCACUGUGAUGGUCAACAAAGAUGCAUUAAACUUUUUCCAGCUUA